CACCCACAAUGAAGGAACUGGUAAAGCAAAGUAAUAACGCAAAGACCAUCACCGAGGGCUUUUGUCUACCUUUAACUCAUUGUGGAACUUGACAUCAUCAGACAGUAAAUCAAGAGGUACUGACAACUGAUGCUGAAUGAUAGUCCCUGCCUAGGAUUUGGAAUCUUUGCAUGAAGCAGGACUCUAGCCACCAACGACAAAGAAGUCAGCGAGACUGUUGUCUCUAGGAAACGCUUCCAGGAAACAGGAAUGCAGGCAAAGUUGGACAUCCCAAAGAUGGCGUAGAUGAACAUGACCAGGAAAAGCAAGAGGCCGAUGUUAAACAAUGCAGGAAGGGACAUCAUCAAAGCAAAGAGCAGUGUGCGGAUCCCUUUUGCUCCUUUGACUAGACGUAAGAUUCGGCCAAUCCUGGCAAGACGGAUCACUCGGAACAGGGUAGGGGACACAAAAUAUGUUUCAAUCAAAUCAGCUAGAAACAUACCUAUGUGUGGAGGAAAAUAAUAGAAAUAAAAUAUCUAAAUAUCUAUGCUAC